GACUUGGAUGUCUGAGAGUUUGCAGAGCCAAGUUACCACAGGUAAUGUUGUAACGAACUGGCGCUGAAGAGGUGAACAGCCCAGGUUGAUAUCUGCUGGUUGAUUAAUGGAAAUGUGCUGCAGCUGGCUGGAAACAGAGCAGGAGAGAGUGGCCACGCCCCUUGACCAGGAUCCUCUGUGAGCGCGACACUUGCACAGCAGGUGGAGACAAACACAGACAACACACACAAGGAACGGGAAGAGGAAAACAGGCUGGGACAGGUUAAACAGAGCCUACCCAUAACAACUACAGAUCUUGCUUCACCACUGAUGUACUUCUGCAGGUAAAACAACCUGUCCACUGGGUUUAUACAUCAGCAUUCUAUCAGUGUUUUGAAACUUGUUCUCCACUCUAAGAACUUAAGUGGGUCUCCUAAGAAGACUGAGGGUUCAGGUCUUAUAAGAAACAUUGCAUCUUGCAGGACUUGUACUAAUGAUACUUCAUUGAUAGUAUUGGUUGUUUGUUCAUCAUUCUUAUGUUUGUUCUUUUUUAAUUUCUUUAUGUGGUACUGGAGGCGUUGCUUGGUUUUCACUGCAAAUCUCAUUUAAGUCAGCUUCAGAGUAUGCCCUAAGCUUAGCAGCUAUCACAUCAAGAUCUCUAAGAUUUUCCAGUCUUUUACGUUCUUGCUUUUGUGCAGCAAUUGCCUCCUCCAUGUUUAUUUCAACCUUCUUUGCGGCCAGCUGCGCUGCACACUCUGCCCAUUUGGCUGUUAUGCUUUGCUGUUCUGAUGACUGUGAAGGGUUUGAGUGAUGGCUAAAUACAGUAGAUUUGGUAUUUGAAGACCCAAAUAUUGACUGGGCAUACUCUCUGUCCAGUAUCAAAUGAAGUCUUGCGCUUUCUGCCUUAGCCUCAAAUUCCUCUUGCCCUACUUCACUCAUGCUUACUUUCAUUAGUUCCAUCAAGUCUCUUGAUACCGCUGUGCAGGAAUCCACCUUCCUUCUAAUUUCAGGUGCUGAUUGCGAGCGUACAUUUACAUAUGCAUCUUUCACUUGUUUCUCUAGCCCUUCCACAGCAUCCAUAAUUUUACCCAACUCUUCAUCAGAGGACUCCUCUUUAAGAUUGGUGCGUGCAGCUUUAACCUGCUCUUUCCAUUUUUCAUACAAUGUUAUGAAUUUACUCUCAUUUUGAGAGGUCUCUUGUUGCUUGAGCUCCAGCAUUUUUGGGGUUAAUUUUCUCUCUCUCUCUCUCCUGAGGUUGUCUGUCUGGGAGGUGUCUGUCUGGGAUAGGCUCAACCGUUGAUACUUUUAGUAUCUCUGCUGUAGCAAAAAUGUCACCUGUCGCAAGACAAGAAAAAUUAGCAAAUUUUGAAAGGGGGUGGUGACUUUCUAUACCCACUGAAGGUAUGGCACAACCCCAUGUAAUAAAUUGUCUGCCACAAGGAGAAAUACUGGUCUAUUAAGAAUAUGUUCAAAAUAUGUAUUUUUCUAUGAAACCUAUAUAUAUAUAUAUAUAUAUUGCAAUUGUUAUUUCUUUGUAUUAGAUGUGAUUGCUAAAUGUCUUACAUACUAUUGUCAUUAUUUAAUUUUUUC
ensembl:lncRNA